rnacentral:rRNA from 1 species
GAAAAGAACUUUGAAAAGAGAGUUAAACAGUACGUGAAAUUGUUGAUAGGGAAACGAUUGAAGUCAGUCGUACCGACGAGAAAUCAACUUAUCGUGUGCGAACUUGUGGGCGUGCGUGAGUUUCGGCCUCGCUGUUUGCAUGUUUGUACGCUUUCGGUGUACUUUUUCGUAUGGUAGGCCAACGUCAGUUUCGAUCACCAUAAAAUGAUCGGGGGAAUGUGGCUUCGAUUUCGAUUGAAGUGUUAUAGCCUCUGGUAGAUGUGGUGAUUGGGACUGAGGAUUGCAACGAAUAUCCUUUGGGCUAUCCGUCUGAUCUCUGAAAGUUGCUCAGGUGUCGAAAGCUUGCUUACGGUCAUCUAAGUUGACGGUCAAUAGGUUAGAACGUGAUUACAUUCGUUAA